GCCUUUGUAGUGUAGUGGUCAGCACGCUGGAUGCGUAUUCCAGAGGUCCAUGGUAUUCCAGAGGUUCAUGGUUCGAGUCCCGGCGAAGGCG
rnacentral:tRNA from 1 species